rnacentral:rRNA from 1 species
CAGUAGCCGCGGGAACACGAGGGGGGCAAGCGUUGUUCGGAAUUAUUGGGCGUAAAGGGUGCGUAGGCGGCUUGACAAGUCUUGUGUGAAAUCUAUGGGCUCAACCCAUAGUCUGCACGGGAAACUGUCGGGCUUGAGAAUGGGAGAGGUGAGUGGAAUUUCCGGUGUAGCGGUGAAAUGUGUAGACAUCGGAAGGAACACCUGUGGCGAUAGCGGCUCACUGGACCAUAACUGACGCUGAGGCGCGAAAGCUAGGGGAGCAAACAGGAUUAGAUACCCCAGUAGUCCCUGUCUCUUAUAC